rnacentral:rRNA from 1 species
UACAGAGGGGGCAAGCGUUGUUCGGAAUUACUGGGCGUAAAGGGCGCGUAGGCGGCCUUCUAAGUCGAACGUGAAAUCCCCGGACUCAACCCGGGAACUGCGUCUGAUACUGGAUGGCUUGAAUUCGGGAGAGGGAUGCAGAAUUCCAGGUGUAGCGGUGAAAUGCGUAGAUAUCUGGAGGAAUACCGGUGGCGAAGGCGGCAUCCUGGACCGAGAUUGACACUGAUGAGCGAAAGCUAGGGGAGCAAACGGG